rnacentral:rRNA from 1 species
GAUGAACGCUGGCGGCGUGCCUAAUACAUGCAAGUCGAGCGAACAGACGAGGAGCUUGCUCCUCUGACGUUAGCGGCGGACGGGUGAGUAACACGUGGAUAACCUACCUAUAAGACUGGGAUAACUUCGGGAAACCGGAGCUAAUACCGGAUAAUAUAUUGAACCGCAUGGUUCAAUAGUGAAAGACGGUUUUGCUGUCACUUAUAGAUGGAUCCGCGCCGCAUUAGCUAGUUGGUAAGGUAACGGCUUACCACGGCAACGAUGCGUAGCCGACCUGAUAGGGUGAUCGGCCACACUGGAACUGGGACACGGUCCAGACUCCUACGGGAGGCAGCAGUAGGGAAUCUUCCGCAAUGGGCGAAAACCUGACGGAGCGACGCCGCGUGAGUGAUGAAGGUCUUCGGAUCGUAAAACUCUGUUAUUAGGGAAGAACAAAUGUGUAAGUAACUAUGCACGUCUUGACGGUACCUAAUCAGAAAGCCACGGCUAACUACGUG